UUGUCCUCCAUGAAAGUUAACUUUAUAUUCAUCUCAUCCACAAUUUCCUAAUGCCUUCUUUGAAGGAAUAUUAAGCAAAUCUCAAAACAACUCCUUUAGUCUCUCUAUAGGUAAUUCUAUGGAAUAUAAUAAGAGUAUAUUUUU